GAUGAACGCUGGCGGCGUGCCUAACACAUGCAAGUCGAACGAGAUGCGUAUUGGAAAGCUUCGGCCGGAAGAUACGUUAUCUAGUGGCGGACGGGUGAGUAACACGUGGGUAACCUGCCUUAUGGAGGGGGAUAACAGAGAGAAAUCACUGCUAAUACCGCAUAAGCACACAGUACCGCAUGGUACAGGGUGAAAAGAUUUAUCACCAUAAGAUGGACCCGCGUCUGAUUAGCCAGUUGGCAGGGUAAAAGCCUACCAAAGCAACGAUCAGUAGCCGAUCUGAGAGGAUGACCGGCCACAUUGGGACUGAGACACGGCCCAAACUCCUACGGGAGGCAGCAGUGGGGAAUAUUGCACAAUGGGGGAAACCCUGAUGCAGCGACGCCGCGUGAGUGAAGAAGUAUUUCGGUAUGUAAAGCUCUAUCAGCAGGGAAGAUAAUGACA
rnacentral:rRNA from 1 species